UGAGAGACCUCAGGGGUCCACUUGAGAAGCUUCAGAACACAGGGGCGCGGGUGCGCACGCACAUACACACCUGAUAACAACUACACAACGCUGAUGAUAACCGCAAAGAAAAAAAAUGGUAGAGCAGUUUCACUUCGUAGCCUCCCAUCCCGGAGAAUGGCAACAGGGAGACACCUGCAGACCCCAGAGGGACCCCCUUCACUGAAAGGCUUCCACCGGCUCCAGGGCAUCGCCUCAGAGCCCGCUUCCGUGUCGCGCCCCCCACCCCCCACCCCCGAGGCUGGUGGAGCAGAGCUGCCCCGCGGCCGCCAGGAAGUGGGAAGAGAGCAGAGACGGGGACCAGUCACAGCGCGGGAGCAGCCCCAGUUCCCAGGGGCCUGCUCGGCAAAGGACUUCUAACAGCUCUUUCUGCCGGGGACUUCGCCAGUCCUGGCAGGUGCUCAGACACCUGCAGCUCUAAUCCUGAAGAACCUCGCCUUGGAAGGCAGACAACACCAGCAGUUUGUGCCACCGAGGAAAUGAAUACCCAGUCCAGCCACCACAGACGCCUGCGGGCUUUGGCGCCGGAGGGCUCCACAGGUUUUCACUUGGGUGCAGUUAUUACCUGCCGGAGUAUCAACCUGCUCUUCUCCUCUUCUUCCACUUCAGCGGCCCAAGCCUAAGCCACAGAGGACCGACGCCCCGGGGCCAGGAGUCUCCCAAACAGCCAUCGUCACAGCCAGGGCUGUGAGCACCUUUGAAGCCCGCAGCAGGUCAGUACCCGGAUGUGAUGGGCUUUUUUGCCCUCGCGGGCGCCCACCUCCACGCGCAUGCUCCACAGGUAACUCGUACCGCCACAGGCGUGCUCGCCAUUAGCCAGCCUCCCUGCAAGUGGUAGCAGGACCAAGUCUGGCUGUGACACCUGUCACUGGCCUGCGCUGUUGCGGGUGCCCACUGCGAACUCUGUAGGUCUGCAUCUGCGUACAAUAGGCCCUGACUCAGGUCCCUGGCCUCCACGGCUGCGCACAGGCCCAUGGCUAACCCCUGCAGCCUCAGGCGUACGCUGCAAUUUCCAAGCCGGACUGCUACGCUUGUGCCUGGAUCUGAUCGCCUCUCCUGGUUGCUUCCUUCCUAUCUGGUCCCUGUCCGUGGAUGACAAGAAGAGACGGAAGAGACGGAGCACUUCAGACUGCAGUACUUCCAAAUGGCUACUGUCUGUGACGCAUUGGAAAAUCGCUUUUCAGUCCCUGAGCAUGUACAGUGGAGCAAAGCCUGGGUAAAUAAAAGGUGGCUGGUGCUGUG